UUAGACCUCAGAUCAGGC
rnacentral:rRNA from 1 species